CGGAACCUGUGUGGCAGACCGCGAACACGUGUUAAAAAAUGUCGCCGGUCGCCGAGGGCGGCGGGGGGCUCGACCCUCCCGCUCCGUCGGCCCCGGCACCUGCGCGGCGUGCCCUCGAGCGCGUCGGGCGGGCUAACGAACUCCCGGCGCGGAACGCGCCAAGGAAAAUAGAAAACGAAGCGCCCCGUCCCGCYCCCACCUGCCCCGUCCGCGGUGCGCGGGGGCGGGCUGGUCGCCUCGAGCUCAUAAGAUGUCAAAACGACUCUCGGCAACGGAUAUCUCGGCUCUCGCAUCGAUGAAGAACGUAGCGAAAUGCGAUACUUGGUGUGAAUUGCAGAAUCCCGUGAACCAUCGAGUCUUUGAACGCAAGUUGCGCCCGAAGCCAUCCGGCUGAGGGCACGUCUGCUGGGCGUCACGCAUCGCGUCGCCCCCUCCCUCCGGGGCGGGGGGCGGACAUUGGCCUCCCGUGCGCUCCCACGCGCGGCCGGCCCAAAUGGGAUCCCCCGGCGACGCGCAUGGCGACCAGUGGUGGUUGAACGCUCAGCUCCUUUGCUGUCCGUCGCGCCCCCGCGCCGUCUCCGGACGGCGUACGUACGACCUAAGCGCGCCCCCGGGCGCCUUCGACCGRGACCCCAGGUCAGGCGGGAUCACCCG
rnacentral:rRNA from 1 species